CACGUAGGAGGCAAGCGUUAUCCGGAUUUACUGGGCGUAAAGCGCGUGCAGGUGGUUCGGCAAGUUGGAUGUGAAAGCUCCUGGCUCAACUGGGAGAGGUCGUUCAAUACUGCCGGGCUUGAGAAUAGUAGAGGAAGAUGGAAUUCCCGGUGUAGUGGUGAAAUGCGUAGAUAUCGGGAGGAACACCAGUGGCGAAAGCGGUCUUCUGGACUAUUUCUGACACUCAGACGCGAAAGCUAGGGUAGCAAACGGG
rnacentral:rRNA from 1 species